GACGAACGCUGGCGGCGUGCCUAAUACAUGCAAGUAGAACGCUGAAGGAGGAGCUUGCUUCUCUGGAUGAGCUGCGAACGGGUGAGUAACGCGUAGGUAACCUGCCUGGUAGCGGGGGAUAACUAUUGGAAACGAUAGCUAAUACCGCAUAAUAUUGACUAUUGCAUGAUAGUCAGUUGAAAGGUGCAACUGCACCACUACCAGAUGGACCUGCGUUGUAUUAGCUAGUUGGUGGGGUAACGGCUCACCAAGGCGACGAUACAUAGCCGACCUGAGAGGGGGAUCGGCCACACUGGGACUGAGACACGGCCCAGACUCCUACGGGAGGCAGCAGUAGGGAAUCUUCGGCAAUGGACGGAAGGCUGACCGAGCAACGCCGCGUGAGUGAAGAAGGGUGUCGGAUCGUAAAGCUCUGUUGUAAGAGAAGAACGAGUGUGAGAGUGGAAAGCUCACACUGUGACGGUAUCUUACCAGAAAGGGACGGCUAACUACGUG
rnacentral:rRNA from 1 species